rnacentral:lncRNA from 1 species
UAUUUAUUAAUGUGUGACACAUCUACCUUUCUAGAUUAUGAGCUCCAUGAGGGCAGGGAUCACCUCUUCAUUUUCUCUGCAUUCUUCCCGGCACCUAAUUCAAGACCCCUUAACAAAGAAUCCAGGGUUUCUUAUUCAGUACCUAACUGCAAGCAACCUUUUCAAGUUUCCCAUCAGAACUUCCAGGGGGUGGAGCCAAGAUGAUGAUAAUCCAAAGUAGCUCCAUGUCACCAUGAAAAUUCUCUCUAACCAAGAUUAAAAUAUCACCACAAAACAAAUGCAUAAGUAAAAGAACCAACAAUGAGACAGAGAGAAACAACUUUUAAGAAAAGAAAAAUCCAAAAGGUAGGCAAAGAAUAACUGGGGCACUGUGGUGAGAAGGGAACAGAGUCAGAAAGAAGUUGUAGCAAGGAGAGAAGAGCAAACCAAGA